rnacentral:lncRNA from 1 species
GAGCGGGAAAGGAGGGGCUUAUGGGGAUUUCGUGUGAAUAUUGAGGUGUUCAGGUGUUUAAAUCAAUCAAGCAUUAGCUAUCAACACAGUGUAAGAUAGUGAUAAAGAUGUGCUUGAUAAUAUUAAGAAAUACCUACAAAAAACAGAAUAUGCCCUCUUUAAAAAUGUAGAGAAGCCCCACCUCCUGAUGACAUCAGCAGGUGGAUGGCACGCAUUUGAACCCUUGAGAAGGAAAUGCUAGGAAUUUCAACCAAAGACUCAACAAGAAAAUAAGCUCUUCAUCAAGACAAAAAAGGGCUUGCAGUAAUGAGGAAGAAGGACUUUGCUCACUGUGUGCUGGUCUUGUGAUGCCGUGGAAGUGCUUCAGUCGCCUCAGGAUCAGACACCGCUGUCAUCUGCAAGAGUGGACAUGGAGUGGGGAAUCAGCCUGAAGCGCAGCCAGUCAAUGAAGACUGUGACGAGUGACAAGCCCAUCUGGACAGAUGUGGGCCUGCGGGACAAGAGGACCUCUGUGUCGCAGCUCGUCACCAGGUAUCAGGUGGGAGUGAGCCAACACGUCCAAACUGCUACAACUAUCAGUGUAGAGCUGAAACCACAAGAUGAGCCCAUCCAGGCAUGGCGACCUCAUCUACAAGUGACUGACAUGAGAACAACUGUGAAAGACACAGCUGACAAUCCUAAAGAGCCUGAUGAAAUAUGGAAAAAUGAUGCAUGGAAUAAGCCCAAAAGUCCCACCAGUUUGUCCCGCAGUAGGUCUCUGAGCAGCCUUCCCCAGAGCACCAGCUCCAUCCACUCGCUAAAAGCUAAGUUUGAGCCAAAAGCUGCUGCUCAAAACAAGGGGGAAAUGUUCAAGUCAGCAUGA